GGGGCGGCGGGGUUGGCUCUAACGAAUUUGAAUGAGGAGCCUCAGCGCUUUCGGCGCCAUUUUCGAGUGAUGCCUGAUCUCAUCAAUCUAGCGGGAGAGACAGGAUAACCUGUCCGAGAGUAUAGCGCCACUAUGACUCCGCCGGAAAAAUUACUUUAAAAAUCGCCAAAAAUUACUUGGAGCAAAGGGCAGUCGGCGGAGCUUCGCCAAGGCUGGCGCAGUCGGUUUUGACCUGUAGCAGAGAACCAAUUCUGGAGAACAGCCUCACUUCUUUGAUUGAAUACUUACAUAAUGCAUUGGAACAUGACAUGAGAUUAAGGUUUAAUAAUGAUAGAAUGAAGACCACAAUAAAAGAGACCUCUACUUAGCUCAGCAAUUCUUACCUUGUGGAUAAUUACUGUACCUUCCUCAUGGAAAAAGUUUUAUUUAAAGUGUUAUUUCUCAUUGAAUACUAUCAAAAAGGAAAAAAAAAUGACCUAAACUUUUGAGAUAGAUUUGGCUCUAGUAAGUAUUUAGUUAUAUCACUUGCAUAUCUGGGAGAAGAAAUAAGAGACUAUCAUCAGUACAUUCCCAUCUACUAAAAAAAUUUAUUUUACACAUGUCAAGGGAUUACUUAUAACUUCCAUUUUAUUACUAAUAGCUUGAACCCUUUUAAUGAAGACCUAACUCCUCCACCAGAAAUUUAAGUUUAUGUUCUUACUUUGUUUACUUAUAAAAUACAUCUCAGGUAUUUCGGAUGUCUUUUUUUUUUCUAAGCCUAUAUGAAAUGAAAAAUAUAUUGGCAAAAUAAAUGUUUAAACCUUUUACGUUAAAAUUACUUUGAAAGAUGAAAAGUUAGUGCUGUUUUUGUCUACGUUAUACUGAAAUUAAAUGUUUAUAAUUUAUAUUUUGGGUUUAUGUAUAAAUCAUGGAAUUUAUGCAAAAAUAUGAGUAGUACAGAUUCUCCUCUAAUUCUGUAGGACUUUGAAUAAUGUGAUAUUUUUCUUAUAAUUGGACCCUUGUGUUUUGAAGAAAUGCCAACUGCUUGAAGAAUCUCCUUGUUAUUUGUAUUAUUUGCUAUAGGGUUAGAUGUUGAGAAAUUCUGCUGACAAAAAAUUUUAAGCCAGUUUUACACUAAAUGUUCCUCAGUCUGAUUAAUUUGUUAUUGGAUGUAUUCUGUAUCUUUCUUUUGUAAUUUGUAACUUUUAUCCACUUAGCACGAAUGAUUCUAUUAAAGAAAAUCAUUAGGAAGUGGUAGAAACUUUAAAUCGCCCCAGAGUUUGCCUGUUUCCAUAUUUUAUUAUCUUAUAAUCUUCGGGAGUGCUUACACUUAUGGAGCUAACAUUUUCAGAGAUACAGCUUCUUAUAGUAACACUAAAACUUUCUUCCUCUUUGGACUGAAUACCUAUAAUUAUAACUAUAUGGUAGUUUAAGUUUCCUUGUGAUUAGUCAAAAAUACCAUUUUAGUAUGAAGCAAUGAAGUCUAUUAUUUGUUGUCCCAUAAUUGAGAAAGCUUAAAUACACCUUUUAUUAAGAGUUUGUAAAUUCUAGCUUAGUCUACACAGAUUUUUAUAUCAAUUUGUUUAUAUUUUUAUUAAUGUCAUUUCUGGAAGUGUGAAAAUGUUAAUGUUCAACAAGCAACAUUAAAAAUAGAUUUGAAACAUUUAUA
ensembl:lncRNA DLEU2 deleted in lymphocytic leukemia 2